GCCCAGGGUGAGGGAUGCUGGUGUACCUGCACUCAUCCUGCUGCUUUUGACCCCAGGACCAUGUUUUAGAGGACAUUGACUUCUGUGCACCUGACAGUAGCAAGAGCCAACCUUAGCAAAGCAAAUUCAUUGUGGAUCUCAGUCAUUAGGUCCUGGUUGACUGUGAAAAGGAGAGAGGAGGAGAGUGUGGAAGGGAGGUCAGAUCCUGCCAGGGUUUCCUGGAAAGUGAGGUGCAUCCACAGUUGGGAUGAUGGAGCCUGACGAGCCACAGUUUCACUUGGAUUACAGUAUUUCAGACUUCCUGAACUUGCCCUCCCCUAGUCCUUGGGGGCAGGGGAGCUUAAGUUUGUAUCUCCAAUAUCACACAAGGAGAAAGAAUGGAGUUGGCUGCUUUGCACAAGUAACUAGAAUCAAUGUUGUGUUGCUGUUGGGAGCACUCAGAAGGAGAAAAGACUGGAGUCUAGCUCUCAUUUUAGAGAGGAUUUUGUCCAAUAGGAAUAUGCAGAAGGGAAGAUACAGGAAGAAGGAGGAGAGGUGGUGAUACAAGGCAUCUUCCUGACCUCCAGAAUGGGACUGCAGCUUCAUAACAAGGUUUUCUAACUAUGGAAUCUCUCCUGAGGAGCUGCAUCGUGUGCUGCUGACCUUGGGAUGGGACACAGGGAGCGAGGAGGAGCUGCAACGUGCGGCUGCCAGUUGCUUUC